GCGGAAACAACCAAUGUGCUCCUUCAAAGCUCGUCUAAACACAGACAUCUGUAACCUAAUGUAGCUUUUAUUUAGUUAACUUCACCUUAGAAAUGGUCAUAUUAUGCUGUGCGGUUAGCUGCACAGACAGACAAACCAAACUAGUCAUUUAUAACGUUUCAUGUGGAAAGAUGGACAGCAGUAAAAAUAAUCCUCGGUGCAACCGCGGAUUUGCAGCGAACUCUUUUUACAAGGUUGAUUUUACUGAACCGGAGACGAAACGAUUCACCCUGAGGCUAAAACUUUAUUUAUUUAUGACCCGUUUGGCCUGACAGGAAAUGAGCAAAUGGAGGAGGUGUUAAAUAAUGUAACGUCGUCCUGCACACUGCAGAUCCAAACGGAGGAAUCAAACAUGACAAACGGACGGGCAGGAAGGUUAAACAAAGAAAAAAAUAUACUGGCGUCUCAGACUGACUUACUGGAUUCAUUGGGAAUAAAAGGAAAACUUUUAGUUUGACUGUGGAAAUGUCCUGGUGACGUUACUGGAUCUUUACCAGACAAACCUCUGAGGAGGAUUUCAGGUUUAUUACUGGAAAUGUCCAGAAAGCAGCUGGUGAUCAGAAUCUGACGGAUUUCACCUUCACCAGCACAAACGUUUCAAAAUCCAAUCUUUUCUGGUCAGUGAACACACCAUAAGCCAGGGCAACAACAACACUCUUCAGUGUGAAAGUUAGUACAGAGAGGAGAAGACUUUUAGAAGAUAACAGGAAGGCAGACAGACUGCUGCCUCUCACCCAAAAAGCCCUUUCCUGUUUGCUUUAAGAAGACCUGGCAUGGAUUCUUCCCCCGGUGGCUCGGAUCCGUUUGUUUUCCCUUUUGAAAGUGAAAGAUGUGGCGAAUAAAAAAGGAGUUUGAGUCCAGAUUAACGCGCUGGCUGUGUUGGCUGCGCGCCGCGGCUCUGCUAAUUGCCUCUAAUCCUGAUAUAAAUAACCAAUGACUGCUGCUUAGUUACAUUCUCAAGAAUAAUUUCUUUAUUCUCAUAAUAAAACAUCAAAAAUAAAUGUUUUUUACAGUUUCAAAAUAACUCUUUGGUGUGGAAGUUGUUACUGAGUGAAAUGGACUCACAGUUACCUGUAAAGGGUUUUGAUUUGGCUGUAAUCUUCAGUUUGUGCCAUAAGAAAUAUAAAUCUAUGUACAAUAAAGAUACUAAUAACUUUCUGACAACGUAUAAACACACCAGAGGAAAUAUUCUAAAUAUUUGAAACUCAUUAGCUUUUUUAAACUUUGGUUAUGGGAACAAAUUGAACGUAGCACGUUAACGAGCGUCUGAACUGAAAACAUGCUGACCUCCACCAGAGGUCACGACUCAGCCGUUCCUCGCUGCAAUAAUCCAACAACAUAUCUGUGAGUGAACCUCCGACCCAGAGCCUCUCCAGUCUGGCAGCAUCAAUAAAAACCAGGCAGCGUAAAUCCUCUCAAUUAGCAGAGCCGCG